rnacentral:rRNA from 1 species
AGAGUUUGAUCCUGGCUCAGAACGAACGCUGGCGGCGUGCCUAACACAUGCAAGUCGAACGAGAAAGUUUCCUUCGGGAAACCAGUAAAGUGGCGCAAGGGUGAGUAACACGUGAAUAAUCUGCCUACGAAUUCGGGAUAACUUGACGAAAGUUGUGCUAAUACCGGAUAAGACCACACUUCUUAUGAAGCGUGGCCAAAGGAGUCUCAAACUCCGUUUGUAGAUGAGUUCGCGGACCAUUAGCUUGUUGGCGGGAUAACAGCCCACCAAGGCUUCGAUGGUUAGCCGGCCUGAGAGGGUGAUCGGCCACACUGGAACUGAGACACGGUCCAGACUCCUACGGGAGGCAGCAGUGGGGAAUAUUGCGCAAUGGGCGAAAGCCUGACGCAGCAACGCCGCGUGAGGGAUGAAGGAUUUUGGUUCGUAAACCUCUGUCAAAUGGGAAGAAUUCUGACGGUACCAUUAAAGGAAGCCCCGGCUAACUCCGUGCCAGCAGCCGCGGUAAUACGGAGGGGGCAAGCGUUGUUCGGAAUCAUUGGGCGUAAAGAGUAUGUAGGCGGUUAAAUAAGUCAGGUGUGUAAGCCCAGGGCUCAACCCUGGAAUUGCAUUUGAUACUGGUCAUCUAGAGUAUGGUAGAGGGAAGUGGAAUUUCCGGUGUAGCGGUGAAAUGCGUAGAUAUCGGAAGGAACACCAGUGGCGAAGGCGGCUUCCUGGACUAAUACUGACACUGAGGUGCGAAAGCGUGGGUAGCGAACAGGAUUAGAUACCCUGGUAGUCCACGCCGUAAACGAUGUCUACUAGCCGUUGGGGGACUUGAUCCCUUAGUGGCGCAGCUAACGCGUUAAGUUCUCCGCCUGGGGAGUACGGCCGCAAGGCUAAAACUCAAAGGAAUUGACGGGGGCCCGCACAAGCGGUGGAGCAUGUGGUUUAAUUCGAUGCAACGCGAAGAACCUUACCAGGUCUUGACAUCCUGCGAACUUUCUAGAGAUAGAUUGGUGCCUUCGGGAACGCAGUGACAGGUGCUGCAUGGCUGUCGUCAGCUCGUGUCGUGAGAUGUUGGGUUAAGUCCCGUAACGAGCGCAACCCUUGUCCUUAUUUGCCAGCACGUAAUGGUGGGAACUUUAAGGAGACUGCCGCUGAUAAGGCGGAGGAAGGUGGGGACGACGUCAAGUCAUCAUGGCCCUUACGGGUAGGGCUACACACGUGCUACAAUGGUUGUUACAGAGGGAAGCGAAGCAGUGAUGUGGAGCGAAACCCAGAAAGGUAAUCGUAGUCCGGAUUGGAGUCUGCAACUCGACUCCAUGAAGUUGGAAUCGCUAGUAAUCGCGAAUCAGAAUGUCGCGGUGAAUACGUUCCCGGGUCUUGUACACACCGCCCGUCACACCAUGGGAGUGGGUUGCACCAGAAGUGGCUAGGCUAACUUAGUGAGGACUGUCACCACGGUGUGAUUCAUGACUGGGGUAAAGUCGUAACAAGGUAACC